GUAUAAGAAUGACAAAUAUUAUUUUCUAUCUACUACAACACUUUGACCCCUCCAUGUGCUGAUGAUUUUGUCAGUUUAAAAAUAAUGAAAUGCAAUGUAAAUUUUCUCUUUCUGCUUUCUAUAUUGUUUGGUGGCAAAUACAGGAAAAAAAUUGAGGAAGACAAUUUCAAGCUGUAGACAUUUCCUCCUUUUGCAUCAUCUUAAAAAUGAGUGAAUUAUAUUUGUGCAGAAGCCUUGUGACUUUCAUUUUCAAAAUGCACACUAGUGUGUCUCCCUUCAUGGAGCUCAAGACCAUGGACAGCGAACUAAUAUUAAAUCAUUAAAUACAAAGGGCUCCAGUAAAAUUUUGUGAAAGCAGAAUAUAAGUUUGCAUUUAAAAUAUGUUAGGAGCAAAGACAAAUUUUAUAAUUUUAAGAUGGUUACAUCUCUUUAAAAACAUGGCAUUUCAAACUUACUCUACCAAGUUUCAGAGAAAUAAUUUUUGUGUUCAGGAUUUACCUUGUCUCAAAGAGUACAUAUUGUUUAUCCAAUUAAAAUAAGAUGAAGUGUACCUUUUGUUACUGCUAAUAACACAUUUAAAUGCAUCCACUUUUACAAAUGGACUGUUUCUUAUAAGGCUUUCAAGCAAAGUGGAACAGAGAAAUUCUACUAUUUUAGGCCAGCAUUAGCUGAAUGACAUUAGAGCAAAUUAAAUUGAUUUUUAUCAGUAACUGAAUUUUUUAAUCCUUAGAAUUGGAAAAAUUAAAUGCCACUUUGAUAGACAGGGAUAAUAUGAAUAGAGAUAUAAUCCAGCUAGUCCUUUUGCCUCUAGUUAGACAUUUUAGUUUAUAACUGACAGUGCAAUGUUGUAGACAAAUAUUCAUUUUAUUUGCCAGUAAGUUACUGGGGUUUUUUUCAUACAUAUUAAUUCAAUUUGGGACACAGGAUUUCUUCGAUGUAACUUCCUAUUAGAUAUCCAUCUAUUUCGUUUUGAGCAGUAUUUGAAUUGUCUUUAUUCCUUUUUCAGGAGGAAAAUUAAAGUCAUUUAUUUUAUGGUUUAUGUAAUGCAUUCAAAAAUAUUCAUUCAAAUUUCCAAUUUCAUGUUCUUUUGGCUUAUUUCAUAACCUCACUUCAGUGUGACUGUAAAGGCCUGGAAAAUCAUAUAAAGCAAAAAUAAACAUGCUACAGAAAUUAAGACUGUUUAUAGUUAAGAAUAAACACCAUCAAUUUAAAGCUAUGUUGAUAUUUAGAAAGAAAUUCUUGAUAUGUAUCCACCUAUAUUUAUAUGUGCCUAUAGAAUUCUUUGAAUUGCAGGUUUCUAAACUUAGGUGCUAGAUAUGUUUGAUUACACACACAUAUUUUUUAAAAAUCAGCAUCUUCAAGUCACCUGAAAAGAAUAUGCAAUGAUGUUUUAGUGUGUCCUGAUCAGGACCAUGGUGAGGUCCCCUGACUCGAAGAAAGGUGGCCCAGGGCUCUGUCUGGGAUGCAAACCAAGGUGAAAAGACGUUAUUGUUCAGGAUUCCACAUUUCUCGUCAUGGUAUUCCUGAUAAAAUGAAGCAUAAAUCUAGAGCUUGGCCUGAGGAAAGGGUGGCAUCGAGAUUCCUGAGAGAAGAUGCUUGCGCACAUAAUUAUAAAGAGAUCUCUUGUCUAGAGCUGGCUAUCUAUCUGGCCUAGCAUGCUUAUUUUUCUGUUAACCAAGCAAGAGUGGGAGAAUCAGAAGAACCCAGGCGUCUGGACGAGGUUUCUAGUUGAGAUGCUGGAGGGCAGUGGGCUCUCUCCAUUUUAGGGCGGCACAUCUGAGAAUAGUGACUUCCGCCUGCUUGGAAGGAGCCUGAGCAGGGAGGCGAGGAGGAUGAGAGGAUAUGGGAAGGUGUCUCCGGGGCUGUCUGUGCUGACAUCAAGGGGAGCCCAAGCAAGGGCGAGCACUUGCCCUUCGCUGUACCCUGGCGCGGCUCCUGGGGGCUGCGAUCCUUUUGCGGCUCUUGGGUUUCAAGGACACAGCUUGCUGCUCAGGACUUUGGGAGCCAACAUCUGUCUGACUGGUGACGUCAGCAGCCCGUGUAAUCCUCUUGUGCUGAAGGCAGAUGCCUUAUUUGUUUGGCUGGAGCGAGCCAUUAAUCCCUAAUUCUGGAUCAGCAAGCGAGGGGGAAAGACCGGACCGCUCCGACCCACCCCUCCCCACCCCCACCUCCCACCUUAAAGCACCUUAUACCACCGAAGCCUCUCAGCCUUCUCUUUCCUGGGGAACACGCUGCGGAGAGACUGAAAACGGUUUGGUCCUCUGCAGGUUUGAGCAGGGCUGGCAGGUCUUUCUCCUUCCUAUCGCUAGGGCUGUGUGUAUACGUAAUUCUGUCUCUCAUCGAUCGUUUCGAUUUUCUGGCUGGGACUCGCGGAUCUUGCAGUUUUCAGGGUCCUGAGCCACGAAGGGAUGGAGACUGGAGAAUGUGGGCGCGACGUGGUCUUGGGGAGGGCGCGAGGCAGGGAAAGGGGCGCGGGAUGCGCGAAUGGCUGAGACCGCGCGCGCACUGCUGCAGCUCGGAGACCCUGCUCAGGACGCGGCGAGUCCGAGGGGCCGGCUCUCCUCAUCGCCUGCUCUGCCUGGACCUGUGCUGUCCUCCAGGCGCCGGCCCGACUCUGCGCACUGCGGGUUCGUCUCAGCACGCAGCUGCAGCUUGAGGACGGAGAUCCGGAGCCGGUGACCCUGGUGCUCACCGAGGGGCGCCUUGGAGUCUCCGCGCAGCCCCGGCUCUGGGCGCCCUCUCCGGUACUGGGAUGCAGCGGGAGCGGCCGUUCCCUCCGGGCCACCGUGCCGCCUCCCGGGGACGCCGUGAACAGAGCCGCGGCCCGGCCGCCUCCGCCCGCAGCGCACCGGGCUCCUCCCGUAGAGGUCAACUCCCCUCACCCCGUCCUUUUUCCUGUCUGCACCUCUCUCCGCGGGCCCAGCACUGCCCAGCACUCGGGCCCUGCCGCAGUCUGAGGACCGCGUGUCCGCUGCGCUGCGGUGGCCCGGUCCAGUCCCCCGGCCCGCCCAGACCGCGGUCCGCACUCUGGGCCGGUGGGAGAGUUUUAGGAGAGGCUUUUCUCCAAGCAGCAAAACCGUACCCGGACCAGAUGGGCGGCCCAGCUCUCGGGGGACCAGGCAGGUGCCACUGAGUUAAUUUUUCCGCAUUAUAAAGAAAGACGACCCAGAGCGCCCCUUGGAUUCUUUUCUUUUCCCGAAAUUUCCCCACUAAAACUGCGGCAGGGUUCUCAGAGGACCCAAGAGGAGGCGGGUCCGUGGGUCACUCUUACAUACGCUCGGACGUAUUUAUUUUUCUUUUCUUUUUACAUGCUCGAUAUCCUCAGAAGCAGGAAAUGAUCGACGAAGUUUUGAGCAGCAGCUCAUGUUAUGUCUGGGUCCUUAAAAGUCUGCUGUUCUUUACCAGUGUCUUAGGAGAGAUUCAGGGUAAAACGACGUGAAUAAUUGCCUUCAGUAAAAUACACAAUUACAAAAUUAUACCUCUACCUGAAGAGCAAUUAACUUCUAUCCAUGCCAUCAUUUGAAAACUGGAUUUACAGGCGAAUAUAUGUUUUUAGGUGUGCUGUAAGUGGCAUGCAGAUAUAUGCACAUGUAUAAGCAGGCGCAUGAAUCCUCUGCAUUUCCACCCAGCAGACUAAUUAGCAGCGGCUCGGGCAGAUGUGACUGCAGGCGAGCUGAGACGGCAGACUUGUGAGAUAAGUAGGGACCCAGAGCCUGGGGGUGGGGAGGGCGAGAAGAGAAGUGUGGUCAUUGCAGUGGGUCGGUUCCUUUCCGGAUCAAGAACAGAGACUCUGCCCUCCGUGUUCACAGCGGACCUUGAUUUAAUGUCAUACAAUUAAGGCACGCGGUGAAUGCCAAGAGCGGAGCCUAAGGCUGCACCUAGAGAACCUAGAGCAUUUCAGAGACAGAAAGGGGGAAAGAGGCUUGCAAGGGAGUUUGGCGAACGGUGGCAUGAAACCACCCUUUGCCACAGGAAGAUCAUCACAGUAACUUCACAACGAAGCUGCUGUUUCAAAGUGAAAGAGAGUUACUUUUUAGUAAAAGCCUCAGAAAUCUGCAGGCAAAUUCCAACGGUGUCUUUAAGGGCUUCAUUGACACCUGUCAGGGCAUUAGUGGGUUCCCAUUUGUGUAAAUAUUCUAAAGCUUUUAGAAAGAAUUUGUUUUUCAAAAUAGGAGUCUACAAGUUGGUCAAAUUGCAGGAAUAAAAUAGAAGAGAGGGGAGUAUGGCAUAUAUGACGCCAUAACUACCUUAAGCAACAAAUCUAAAAUUGGUUAACUGUGGAGUGAAGAUGUAAACAACACCCUGCCUCUAUCUGGCCUUGACUUCUCCCUUUCUCUUUGCUGUCUGGAGUCAGCCUCCCUAGGGUUAACACCCCAGGAUAGUUUCCUUGUUUUCCUACAGUGACAAAGGCUAAAAUCAGUCCAAAAAAAAAAAAGUAGAGUAUGGUAAAAGGGACAGUUCAGGAACUUUAGAAGGACACGGCACAUUAUUUGUAAGCCUGUAAAGUAACUUGUGUUGAGGUAGGUAGUUCCAUACCACGGCCUUGGAGCCAAAGGAAAACCUAGGCUAAAUUUUUUAAAACCGAGUGUUGAUAGAUGUCUUUGUUCUGCCUUGGCCUGCAGGGGCUGGGAACAAAGGAAUGGAUCCUCCAGGGUGCUCCAGGGUGGCCGCGCCCUCCCUGCCUGGCGCUGUCCGUGGUGCUGACCCUCUAUUCGCUCCAUAAUUGAAGCAGAAAAACAGUACUUCUCAUCCCUACCUAAAAGAGUUAACAAGAUGUUAGGUAACCUGCUAAAUAAAAAUUUAAAAGAGGGAAAGUUCACACAUAAUGAAACAACAUUUUACCUAAAUCGUAUACUCCAGCUAUUGCCACACUUCGCUGGGUACUUUUCCAUCUUUAGUAGGUACUCAUCUUCAGACAGUGUAGGUAGAUUGGGAAAAAAUUUCAGUUGAUUUAGGUUGAAACCAAAAUAUGUAUAAACAAUGAGCCAGACUUGCAAGAAAGAGAUGGAGGGAAAAACUAAGACUUUUAUUAUUAUUUUCUUUCAUAAAUAAUCUCCCUUAAAACCCAGAAACAAAGUUUUCAGCUGUGGAUCUUAGUGCUGAGGCUAAGAACCGGCUCAGGGUGAACUUGAAGUUUAUCAGGGAGGAAUGGGAUCGGGAGUGAUUAGGUGAGACCUGGCAGUUGUCAACGCAGCCUGGAACCACUCUCCAAGCUCGCACCAGGACAGCCUUCCUAGGUGGGCCCAGAAGGUUAAGCUGCUCCAGAGGGCUGCACUGGUCGGUGCACUGCAUCUGCGCCAGCGGGAGGCAUUGCAGCAUCCGGAGGCCUAAAACCCGCACUGCGGAAAAACCAGCCACAGCAGCAUCAUCCUAUUAGUCCUUGGCGACAGGAAAUAGGCAGAAUGGCUUAGUAAACCCCAUGCAAUGAAGAUUUACUGGAGUACUUCAGUAGUCAAAGGCGGAUGUGCGGGUAUUGACAUUUUCAACAAUUUAAAAUUCUCAGCAUAUUUUCGACAAUUUAAAAUUCUCAGCGUAUUUUCGACAAUUUAAAAUUGUCAGCGUAUUUUACCAUCUUGGCUUACACACUGAGAGUAUUAAUAUAAACCAUAAAACAUAAGCACCCUAAUUAAUGAAUCAAAUGGGAAGGAAAAAAAAGAAAUGGCAAAUAAAUAUGUACCUAGUCUGGGUUCACAAAAGAAAUCAUACGUGUUUUGUGUUAGCUGAUAAAGUCACAAACGUAAACUGUGUUAAAAUUAAUAACAGAUAAAUCAAUACAAAUUGGGCAAUAGAGGGAGCAACACUGAUUUUUUGAUCCAUGUGUGGAAAUGCAUCAUCCACUGACAAUAGCCAAAAAAGAUGUUUCCAUUACAUUUGUUGUUUUACACCUGAAUGAUGACGAGACAUCAAAUGAUUCAGGAGACGAAAGCAUCCAAGCAUAACGUUCUCAGCGGUCUACUUCUGUGCCCCCACCUUCGGGCAGAUUUUAUUUCCCUCUCAUUUCAAAAUUCUGUGAGUUAGGUCCUCUGUUGCAAUAACCACUUAGGCUAUAUUUAAUUUUAUAUAACUUGAGCGGGAAUGAGUAAUCCAUGUUGGAAAAAAAAGAUCUACCAAAAAAUUUUAAGAAAAAAGAAAAAGGUUAGGAUUAUUUCUCUUUUGCCAGUUCAAAGCAGCAAUUGGCAAGUGAAAUGGAUUAAAGCAGCACAGGUUAUCACAGACAGCUCCACCUCCUCCCAGCAUUCAUUUGGUUCUCUUGAUACCCUGCAUCCACUCCCCAUGUGAACUUCACAAAGCAGGUUCUAAGGCUGCAAAAUAUUUCUGCCUGCAUUGUUAUAAUUCAUAUUACAUAACAAGAGCACACUUAAUCCUCCUCACCCUAAUCCUACCUGUUUAAGGAUGUCCUAAACUCUAGAUUUAAAAAGCUUAAUCACUAAAAAUUACUUUCUAAGAGAAAUGAAAUAUAUGAUAUGAGCGGUAGUGCUUAAAUAAGGGAACAAGCACAUAAUACAGUAAUUUAGCUGCCAAGGGUAAAUCCAGAGUGGUUAUUGAUCCAUUAUGUCUGAAGACUUUAAGACUAUUUAUUUUGAGUUUCAUUCAAAAAUAAUCAUCCAGUUUAAUGCCUCUUCCAAAUUGUCCCUGGUAUGAAAUUCUACGCUCAGCAGUUUUGCGCUAAAACGACCCAAGCUUUGCAAUUGGAGAACUUCUGCACAUAGUGUUGUAGGAGGCUUUUGACAAUCACAACUUUCAUCUAGUGGUCUGAAAUUAAAGCUCCUUGGAAUAAUUUAGAAACAGCUUGACCCGUUGAGAUACUCAACGACAAGUCUCUCGGGAAAUACGUAGUAUUAUUUCUUUCCUGGGAGCAAGGUCUAGCGCAGUGCAUCAAGAAGUAUCUGUUGUCAACAAUACCAGAGCGCCCUCUGCUGCCCGUAUAAAGGCAGCACACAAGUUACAAAAGCCAGAUGGCACUAAAUCUCAAUGAAAGGAGGAAACAUUAAGCUCUUAAGAACAUUUAAUCUGUGAAAUUUAAAAGCUCUCAUCAUAUUCUGCUUCUGAAAAGGCCACCGGAUUUUUAUUUUGAGCACUUCUUGGGUGAUUUCCUCCUAAUCUGUAGGGUAAAGUCAGUAUCUUGAAAUUUACUGUGUCAGUUCUGUAUUCGUAUUUUAUGUCUUUCUCAAAUCUUAUUUGGAAACAUAAAAUAGCAAAUCACAGUGAAAAAUCUCUGUGCUAGGAGUUGAAUGGAGAAAGAUUUUCCUAUUUUUUCCAUUCCUAAUUAAAAUAAAAUACAAAGCAUAGAUUAAUUAUUUUAAAACUAUAAUUUCAAAAAUUAAGGAAGUCGAUAUAAAGAAUUAUCUUGUUGUUUUGCUUUGAUAAUUAACUGGCAUUUUGCUCAGUCUUUAAAUUUGGGAAUAAAAUGUUCGUGUUUAAGGAAGAAGUUGAGAAAUUUGCAUUGCCCUUAUAUACGGUAUUUUGCUCUGGAAACCUUCCUAAUUUACAUCCGUACUCAGUUCACAAAGAAAUACUCAGAGAUGUAGAUAAGGUAACAGAACGCACAAAUCCAUAAGAAGUGUUAUUUGCAUUAAAAUGAGUUUUUCUUAUUGAAAAUUUGUUCUCAAGUGAAAAGAAUAUUUAUUAAAAAGUUAAACCCCUUUUUAAUUUUUAUGUAUUCUGGGGAUUAUAUUGAUUAAAAUAGUGUACAGCUGUAUUAAUUCAACAGAGUAAAAUUUAAAAUUACAGCUUAUUUUAAGACACACAUUUUUUGCAUACACACUGUUAUUGACUAUAUCGGUGCUAAUAUAAUCAAAUGUGCUUAUUAAAUUAUUAAUGAUGUGCUUGUAAAUAAAUCUUAUAAAAUAAAGUUCUGUUUAUUUUAUGAUAGCAGAGUGAAAUAGCUGUCUAAUAUCCCUUAUUUUAAUCUUAGCUUCUAAAUGAAUUUCAACAAAGAUACUAAACUAUACAGUUCUGGCAAUAUUGAGCUAAAAUUAAUAAUUAUUUGAUUUUACAAUUAUCUGGGAUAGAAGAAAAAUCUUGGUUAAAUAAUAAAGCAACUUAAAUAUUUGACCAAAUAUGUCAAAUUCUGUAUAACCACAGAACAUUUGUCUUCAGAUAUUUACUUUUUGAAGAAUGUAUUUGCAAAUUCAUGUUAUAAGAAAUUAAAAAAGAAAAUUGAUAAAACUUUUAUGAUUUAAGCAAUCUUUUAUAAAAUAUUACAUUUUAUUUACUAAGUUUAAAUUUAUUUCUAAGAAAAUUUAUAUUUACCCGAGAUAAAAAAAACACAGUAACAUACUUUUAUGAUAUAUUCCUAACAGUUUUGAUAUUUGAAAAUAAUUUCAAAAUAGAUAAAAUGCAUAAUAUGUGUUAAGAACCCUUCUUAUUUUAAAAACUGUUUGCUAUAUUCUAAAAGAAGGAAUGAAAACAACCAAACAAGAAUGUAAGAAAGAAAAGGAAACAAAGGAACAAAAGAAAUAAGAGUUUCUGAGAUGUCCAACAAAUGCUGCCUGAAUUGAAAGCCUCCCCAGUUUUCACCAAUCAAAUUUGUAUUUAAGAUUUUUUAAAUUUUUUAUUUAUUUAUGUAUUGGGUGGUUUUUUUUUUUUUUUUUUUUUUUUUUUUUUUUUUUUUUUUUUUUUUUUUUGAGACAGAGUCUCACUCUGCAGUUCAGACUGACCUUGAAACUCACUUUGUAGCCCAGGCUGGCCUCAAACUCAUGGUGAUCCUUCUGCCUCAGCCUCCCCAGUGCUGUAACUACAAGGAUGCACCAGCAUGCCUGGUUACCUUUUUUAAAUUUUACAUUUAUGCAAGAACAGCAUAACUGUAACUUAAAGAUCCCUCUUAAUUUCCUCUACCUAUUGAAAACAUUUGCUUCUAUAAGAGUAAUAUUCAUAGAAACAGUACAUUUAUAGGAAGCACAAUGUAACACAAACAACUAAUUAUUAAAGCUUUUACUUAAGAAUUGUAAGCAAGAACAUUCACCACAAUAAUUAAGUAUUUUCUGAUGUGAAAUUAACAUAGAAUGUAAUACGUAGAGCACUCGUAUGUAUGAACAUACAGCAGCAGCACACAUGCACACACAUGUACACAUCCAUAUCUUCCCUAAUCAUAGACUUCAGAUUAGAUGGAAUGGGCUUUAAACUGUUCAACAUCUUUUUAUCAUGUGUUCAAACUCAGCUAUCAUCACAUUUUUCAUCAACUACUGUUAAAUAGCUACUACCAUAUAGAAAUAUGGCUAAAUAGGAAUUGAAAAUGGAACAUUUAACAUAUAAAAUAAAGAUGUCAAGAAAUCGAAAUUAAUUAUCUUUAAAAUAGAAGGUUGGUGGCUUCAAAUUGCUUGGCAAAUAUUUGUAUUGAAGAACAGUAAAAGAAGUUGAAAGCCUAGUUGUUAGCAGGUGGGUGAAAUAAGAAUCAACUAAGUUGCUGAAAUUCAUGUAGAAAGAAAACAAGAAAAUAAUGGACGUCAAUUUUCUUUUUGAUAUUCUAACAGAAGUUGCUAUAUUGAUGCAGGAAAAUCUUUGGAAUUAUUAAGUAUUAUUUAAAAGACUGUUUCUUCAUUGGAAUGUGGUGCAAUUUUGGUCUUGCUGAGGUAACAAAGACAGAGAACAUACUGGAAAUCAAAUUGUCAAAAUAUUUAUUUUUAUCAUUGUACUUCACCCUAUAGAUUUGAGAGAAUUUUGAUUUUGCUUUCCUAGUUAUUGGUCAUACUCUUCUUAAUUAUAAAAUUGUAUGUAAGUGCAGUUCUAUACAUAUAUAAAUGAUAAGAUAAGUAUACCUAUAGAAUAUAUUGGGUAAAAUGUUCCUCUGCCAAUUUGCUUAAAUAAAAAGUUCAGUGCUACAAGAAAUAAAAAUGCGGUUUAGAAAAUUGUUCUUUGCUGAUUUUAGUGUUCUAAGUAGUCAUCAUCAUGAUAUAUUUUUAGACAGGAUCUUUAAUUUGGGCUCAAUUACAAUGCUUUUUAGGAGUUCACAGCACUGAAGAUGAAUGUGAGGAGUAAGAGUCCCACACCAACGUGAUAACCGAGAACACUGAGCAAGGUCGAUUCAAAGGUGAUGAAGUUUAGGCUGCUAUGAAACUCUUAGGUGGAGAAAGGCAUUCUCUCGCCUAAAGCUAUAUAAUGUCAAUUUUCUAGUUAGAGGAACUUCUCGCUUCCCAGGACAUCCUUGAUCUGACUUUCUCCUCUCAGUUUUUGGAACUAAGCUAUAAUAAUUGUCUUUUAAUUGUCCAAUCGAUAUCAGGUGAGUAGAGACUGGUGGCAAGAAUUUCAAAAAUAAAUUACUCACUAUUUGAAUCUUACAAACCAGUAUUUUUAAAAGGGAUUUUAAUUUCACAAAAGGGAUUAUUUUUACCUAAAUUUUCAAUUCAGAAAGGGUAAAUAUUUGUAAAAGCCCAACAAGCAUCAAGACGCUGUUAGUUGGGUAGGGAAAAAGGAUUAUGAUGUAUAUAUGAAAUAUCUACUUUAGUGAUUAUGUUUAUUUAACACAAAGUUGUGAAUAAUUAAAGUCAACUUUAGCUGUAACUUGGAAACACCUCUUCCAAAGUUACCUUACAAUCAAGAUAAUCUACCUGAUGAAAUUACAUGGGACAAGAGAUUACUAAUAAUCAUUUAAAGUGGCUGAUAAAAUAAGAGACAGUUCUUCAUACCUACUCCAGCUGUUAAUAGAAAAAAAAUUUCUUCAAUGAUUAGUGUUUUCUAAAUUCCCUUUCAGUGAACAAAAUAUUUUUACACUGUCUUUCUCGCCCCACCUUCUUUCUCUUCUUCCCCUUAGUUGAUAAUGGUACUCAAUAUGGUAAGUGAUUAGAUCAACAACACUGAACAUAUCAAGCAAUCUUAGAGGCAAAGUUCAAAUUUACAGACAGAAUAUACAUAUGAACUUGAAUUUAUUUUUAUUUUGACAUCUCGUGUCCAUAGCUAAUAUCUAAGCUUCCUGAGAUUUCCAAACAUAGAGCAUAAGUUUGGUACUCCUUUUACUUACUGUGUGCAUACUUACUGAAUGUCCAGAUCCUUUCCAUAUGUUAACUACUUUAUGAUAAAUGCAAAAGAUGUGAUUCCUAUUGUGACAGACCUAAAUUUCCUACCAUAUUAAAUUUCCUGCCUUUUGAACUUACUUUUUAUAACUUAAAUUCUUUUAUUUUUAAGUGUCUCCACACCAGCAACUGAAGUAUUUUGUGAGUAUGGUAAGAAAAGAUUUGCAUUUUCCUUUACUACUAAACAAAACCAGUAGGUUACAUUUCCCUACUUCUCUACCACUCACUUAAUAAUGAAUGCAUUUUGUUAUCCUCUUUCAAAUCAGUUGAAAAAAUAUUGUUAUAAGCUGAUUUAUAUUUAUAUAAGCAGAUUGGCCAUACAGUAAAUUGAGACUUUGCCUCAUUUGUGAUUUCUACUUUUUUUACUUAUUGACUGUAAACAUUUACUUAUAUUUUGUCAUACAUUUUGACUUCCAUAUAAUUUGUACUGUAUAAGUGUUCAUUCAAACUGUAAUUUGGUUCUUAUCCUUUCUUUACACGUUUCUGUAACUUUGUUACUUUCAUUAUUUCCCUUUUCCUGUUUGUUUGCUUUGUUUCUUGCCUAUUGUUUUGUUUUGUUUGUUUGUUUGUUUGUUUAUUGGUACUGGGGAUUGAACUUACGACCUCCCUGGCACUUACCAGGUAACUACUUGUGCCCUGAGCUAAAUCCCCAGCACUCCCACUUAGUAUUUUAAUAAGUUAUCUUUUUAAUUAUCAAAAUUUCUUUCAAUGUAUAUCCUAUUUUCUACAGGGCAUUGAAGUAACUGAUUUAUAAUAACCAAAUGGUUAAUUGGUUUUCCCAAAUAGAAUAGCAGUGCAUUUCAAAUCUAAUGUAGUUAUUGAAAUCAUCAAAAUAACUAGACCAACAUUUUCAUGGUUUCAUUAUUUCACACAUUUAUGAUUAGUUUUAAAUCAACUGAUCACUCAAAUAUUUGACCCAAAAUACUUCCACAGAUAUAAUUUGCAGGCUCUUCAUUAUACCACCUAAUUAACUGUGAAUAUUUUAGAUAUUUGGCACCUGAAAAAGUAGUCAUAUCUCGCUAAUUUAUUGUGAAAUUGUUGGUCACCAUCUUGACCUAUAUCAAAAUAGUCAGAGGUGUCCGAUUUUUUAAGGCAGUGAUAGACACUAUGUAUACCAAUAGGGGUCAUAUAUCUUUGCUGUAAAUUCUGAUUAUUUAACUUAUUAAAAGUUACAAGAGUUAGAAUUUCUACAACUUUGGAAUACAGCUGGUAUAAUAGUAAAUAUUGAGUUCAUGUGCUGAUAAUGUAGUCUGAGAAUCUAUAUUUUAGCUGUAACUCUUACAUUAAUUAGUUAAAUAAUCUGGUUUACUUACUUUCCUUCACUGGAUACUGGUUUAUGUGAACUGGAUUCAAGAUUCUACAUAAUAUGACAUAAGUGUUAGCUGGAAAGUUAGUUUGCAAAUUUAGGUUUUUAGGUCCCAACCUCUAAACUUCAUCUGGUCAGGUCUAGAACACAUUUCAACCAGCAACAUAGCUGGUUCUGAAGUAACUGGUCUGUAAUUUAAAAAUUAUGAAUCAACUCUUCAAACAUAUUUCUAACCCUAAGCCUUUUAGCUAUAAAUUAAAGAAAAUUAACAAUUCUAAGACAAUGAAUUUUAUCACCAGAUAAGAAAGUCCAGAAAUAAUUGGUAUCAGCAAGUCUUGUUUUGAUAAGAAUAGUGUGUAAGUUUGAAUUCUUAAAGAAGUAAAUGUCAAACUUGGGUUAAAUUUGCACUCACUAUAUUAUGGAAUACUUCUCUAUAAGAAAAUGAGGGGCCAAGCAAGCUGUCAGAUAGCACAACAGGGCCGAUUUCUAAUGAGAGACUUGAAAAGAGGGAUACCAGGGUCUUCAAAUAGCAUAUAAUCUAGGCAGUCUUGGUAAGGCCACCAGAAAGUCCUUGAACCCAUGCUGUCAGAUGAGUGGACAUAUUCUUACAAGAAUAUAUCUAUUAUCUUUACCAUAAUUAGUCUCAGGUUAGAAGCUUAUGGGAAACAUGGCCUCUCAACAUACGUAAUCAUGAAUUUUAGUGUGCAGUGUUUAGGCCUUUAGUUAAUUUUAUUCCCUAAGACAAACAUCUACAACUUAUAUUUUCAUGCCCAUUACAGAAAGGCAAGUCACUAAUAUUGUGAGAAUCAGUUACAGGGAAAUUUAAGAGACUUGUCAGUCAUCACAUGGAAAAAAACCCACAGAUUUUAUAUGAGUAGGAUCAGCUAGCAGUAAAAGAGACAGGCAAUUUUAAAAGUAUAGAACAUUUUUUUUUUGCUCCCAAAACAUAGUUAAGAUGGCUAGGUCACUCUACAAUAAUGAACUAGCCAUAAAUCCCACUGGUUUAAAACAAAACCAAAAGAAAAAAAAAAUGGUAUCUUGCUCAUGCUGUAUGCUAUUUUAGGCUGGAGAGGUACUCUAUUUGCCCUAAUAUUCCAGAAGGUCAAAUAACUAAACUUUUAUGGCCUAUAAAUGCCAUUAUUUCAAAUAUGUGAUCCAUGACCUCCAACAAUAUAUUAGGAAAUAAAAAGCCCAAUACGUUGAUGCAGAAGUAAAUGUUUUGUUCCAGAUAUAUUUGUCUAUAUCUAUCUAUCUAUCUAUCUAUCUAUCUAUCUAUCUAUCUAUCUAACUAGAAUCAGUUAUAGAAUAUUGUAAAAAUUUAAAUUGUAUAUGUAUUUUAAAUGUUUUUUUUUUUUUUUUUUUUUUUUUUUUUUUUUUUUUUUUUUUGGCUUUUUCGUUUUUAUCGGUACCGGGGAUCGAACUCACGACUGGCUGCUUUCAAGGCAGGCGCUUAUGCCGCUGAGCUAAAUCCCCAGCCCCCGUAUUUUAAAUUUGACAGUAAUAGACACUGGUAAACACUAAUAUUGACCAAAGUAAGAUUUCUUGCAAAUCGUACCACCAGUGCUAAGCAGAAAUCGACUAUAUCAUCUUUUAGGAUCCUGAAAUUUAGGUAUCAAAUGUAAGUGAGAUAGACUUCAAGUGCUAUUUGCAUUUUUUAAAGGCAGUGAAGUAUGACAGACCAGAAAGAAUUUUUCAAAUAAACGAUCAAGAAGUCUUAUUUAAAAGUAAGCUCUUUCUUUGAAUUGCUGUAUGAUUUUGAAAUUCAUCUGAACUUUCUGAACCCUUGUUUUCAUAUCUAAAAAGUGAGAGAAUGAAAUUACAUAUCCAAAUUAUAUUUCAGAAACCAAUUAAGUCUAAUAAUGGUCACAUUAAAAACAGUGGAAAUGCAAUAAUAUCGUAGUAUUUGUUCAGAGGAAAGCUCUGUGUUUUUCUUCACAUGUAGCAAAUGAAUAACAUCACUGUAAGACUAGAUUCUAGUCAUUUGUUUCCAAGUUAUUCACGUAAUUUGUGAAUAAGGUCUCCGUGAGAAGUCUAGGGGAACACGCUCAGGAUGUCUGCACUACAGCCUCAUCCUCUGAACAAGACAUCUUCUACUCAGCUCCUCAUAAGUUUCCAUCAGGAUCAAGCUCAAUACAACCAACUCCCAGAUGCUACUUUGAAUUCUCCCCACCCUCCCCUACUCCAGUCCAGUUCCCUGAACUCAUUCUCCAGAAAAAUUACCUGCUGGCAAAAGUGUUUGCCUUAAUCAGUGCUUCCUCAGGGAACCUAGGCUAAGAGAGCAAAGUGAUCUCUAUCAAACAAGUGAUAUAGGAUCAAAGACCACUAGAAACUUGAGUUCUUUUAUGUUUAGCCCUAACUCAUUAUUUAUAUGUCUUCCCUGUCAGGUUACUUCCUACUUCUCAAAAGCUAGCAAGAAUUCUUCCUAGGGAUGGGUUGUAACUUCUUUAGUUACUACAUAGACAAAAAUCAAAAAUAUGAAAAGCCCAAAUAGUAAUGGAGCUGCUAAUUAAGAACUGGGAAACAUCCCAAAGCUCCAGUUCAGUUUUCCUGUCUCUGUGCCUGUGAUGGAUGGAGCUGGGAGGGCAGGUACAGUGAAAGGGAUCCAGGUGCUUGCAAUUCUGCAGCCAACUCUGCACUCUUUAUUUGUUAAUUUAAUAAAAAUCAAUGUGUGCCAUUGAGGAAAGGAAUAAAACACUCCUAAAAAUAUAGAUAAUUAUGUAUUCAACAAGUAAUUAUAUAAACUCCAGCACUGCAAAAAUAAAUAUAGGGUAAACAUACACUAAAUAUUAAAUAUAUUAAGAUAUAAAUUAAAAUAUUAAACUACAGGUAAAUGCACAGAACAUAUAUCCACAUAUACAUGUAGGAAUAUUAUAGACAUAAAUAAUAGCCUUGAGGUACAACACAUACUUUGUGAAGCUUUCUUAACAAGCAGGGUCAGAGUCAAACCCAAAAGCUGAGAUUUUUCUUUCUUGUCCUUCUGACCAAUCAACCUUAGACACAAAUUCAGGGGAGAGUAAUAACAACAGCAUCCAAACUAUACUGAGGAGUAGUAAAGAAAACUGAAAAGCCUUCAGAGGGAACACGAAGAGACAUGUCACUUGCAAAAUACUGAGAAAAUUUAGAGAAUCCAACACUGACCCAAAUGGAUUAGUCCCCAUUUAGAUAGAUGUUCAUGAAAGUUGGUAAAUAUUUUUUUUUAUUUUUUAAGGAGGCAUUCUUUAAUAAUGGACUUAUUUAAUGCAGUGGCACUAUGUUUUUAAUAAAGCAGGCUAUGUUCAGCAAAUUUAAUAUUCACUGGGUCUUAUUGGAAUACUAUACACACCUCUUUCGCAUUUGAUAUAUCAGUGGUAUAAACCACAGCAUAUAGUUUACUGCAUAAUAAAAUAUCAGUGUGCAGCAAACUUUUACAAUGUGCUUGCAGGCUCAGGAGAAAGUUUUAUUAGCCUUAGUUAUAAGAGAUAAUAUACAAUUACUUCUUGGAAAAGUUGUAUUUUGUUUAAAAAUGUUCAGCAAGUUCUCAGGACAUGUGCUGUCAGGGUUAGGAAGGAGCCAUACAGAUUCUUCAGAAUGAUUUGAAGCUCUUUAAGGAUGACUGUAUGUGAGUUCAUCAUUAUACACUCAUAUGUGAUAGCAGCAAAAACAGGAAUAUAAACCCAAAAACAGUAUUUUUAAUGAUCUUUUCUAAUAUUCAUUUUCCAACUUCCAUUAAGAGGUAAGAAUAGUGGGGAAUUUCAUUCAAAUCUAUUUACAUGUUUAACACAAUGAUAUACGAUAAUUCAUCAAAUAACUAAGAAACAGAUUCCAUGUGAUUUAUCUAUUUUUAUUCUUAUAUAUUUCCAUACAGCAGCUCACCUUGGUGUUCAUGGGACACUUUAUCUUUGUGUAGCCCUAGUGUGUAAACAAUGUGGGUAUGAGCAUUACAUUAAUUUUGAGACUGAAAAACUAAAAUAUGCUACAUGAAUCAAUUAAUGAUAUAAUCUAAUCAUCAAUAAACUGUGUCCUCUAAGAAAUAUAAUUUUAAAACUCUCUAAAGUAGUAAAAUCCAUUAAUGUUUUUUAACCCUGCUGUUUUUGAUAGUUGGCCUCAGCAGUUUUUCCAUCAGACAGAGGCUAAGGAUGCUAUCAAUUCUAUAAUCACCAGGGUUGCCUACAGUGGUGAUUCAGACACAGUUCACUUGAGUUCCUUUCCAAUCAAAACAACAUUAAGCUUCAUUUGCCUACCACUUACUAGAUUUCAACACAUUUUCCCACUUGAGACUUCCAGGCUUCACAACUGUACUCUGAAGUAUCAUUCUUGAUUCAUACAGAGUAGGAAACGGUGGCACAGAGAAAUGGUAAGAAGCCAAGCAACAAGCAGUGGUAGAGCAGAAGGGGUGCUCAACUAUUUCAAUGCAAUUUUCUCUCCUUGAAUUAUGCUAAAUUGAAGUUUCCUACUGGUAUUAUCCCAGCUACUCACCAACCUCCACUGUCCAAGACAUAUCCAAGUAGCAUGGUCAUAACUGUCCUUGCAUAUUUGCUUCUGUGUUUGUGAAACAGUGUCUUAUCCUCAGUUUGAUCAGAUGUUGAAUGUUAUGUAUGAUAUAGAAAACAAUCUCCAUAAGAACUUCUCAAAAAUAUAAUUGAGUCUCCUUGGAGUAUAAUUAUAUUUUAGAAGUUUUUAUGCACAUUUCUCUGAAAGUAAUAUUAAGGAGUAGCAUAAGAACACGUUUGACCCAUAGGCACAGAUUUUCUUUGCUAUUUUAAGGAUCAUUUUUGAGGUCAUAGGGCAAUGAAAUGCAGUGUAAAGAAGACUCAGAAAUAUUCAGAAAGUACAUUCUCUUGGACCCUUCAUUUAGUUUCAUGGUGAAGUCAUCAGGCAGUAGCAAAAGAAACACAACCAUUAUCCUCCAAUAAUCACAUUCUUUGGUGGUGUAUAUUUGAAAAUACAGUAAUCAGCACUGCCCACAGAAGAUGGUAUUUCAACCAUGCCUCAUUAGCUUUUGUUUCAGAGUAAUACUUUUAUUUAGACCUAGGUGCUGAAGACCAGCUUGAUGCAGUGCAGAGUAGGCAGUAGUUAACAUUAGUAAAGUGACACAAAAAUAAGUUGAGAGUCUGUUUAGGCCUGUAUGACUUGUGGUAAGACCCAGAGCUGGUGCACAGGCUGCUUAAUCUUUAAGCCAUGGCCAGAAUUGAACUCAGAAUAGGGUCUGUGAAGUUCUGGUACCUCAAACAUGGAAGCUGAGGACUUGAAUCUUACAAAUCUCUUCUAUAUCAGGAGUGGCAGUUAGCAGAUAAUCAGCUUACUAGGAGCUUGUCCUGUGUGCUUUUCCAGAAAUGCAUUAUUUUUCAAUCCUUAAACCUUGUGUCAGCAGUUCAUCAUCACCUCCUGCAGCCCAUCAGCACAUCCUCCAAUUAGGCUGCCACCUAAUAAAGGCCAAAGACUGGUGAUUUUAGCCCUUACUGGGCUUUGACCACCCUAGUGCCACUUGUAACUAAAAAAUAUAUAUCUCAUCUGUUUUACCCUGUCAGAGUGCCCCUAAGCAGAAGGUAGGUGGUCACUGGCCAAGGCCCCAAAACUUAAAAAAAAAUUUAAAGUUUCAUUUUAUUCGAGUAAUGAUCACAAAGUCACACCUCCAAAUAAUAGUGGAUGCUAAUGUGCUGGGGGUUGACAUAUUUUUAAACAUAAAUUAGAACACAUAGCUCUUUUUCAAGCAAAUUCUGACUUCAUCACAGUAGGAUAUUGAUCUUGGUAUUGAAUUUUGAUUUUUCUCUUCUGUUUACCCAAAAUGCAUCUCUUCCUUCCUUUUUGCAUAUCUAUAGCUUAUCAUUCCAUCAAUACCCUGAUCAAAUUCAUCCCUCCAGUGCUGCAUUGGCCAGACUGCGUUAUUAAUCUUUUUUUAAGAACUAUAAAAUUUAAAGCUAAUCCGAUGAUUUCUACCACUUAGGCAUAUUGUAAACAUGCCUUUCUACACGUGUGUUAUGUUAGGACAUACUUUUGUGAACAACGUAGGUAAACAAAGUGUACUCACUGAUUUAUUCCACAGAUGGACAAAAUAAAUACUAGGUAUCAUUAAUUUUCAGUAUUUAUUUUGCUUGUAGUUAAGUCAGCAUACAUAUGAGUUAUUAUUCACUUACUAUGUGAAAGUAAAUUAUGUGAGGUCCAAGAGUCUCAUGAAAUAUUCCUGCCAAUGACUGGAAAUAAUAUUAUAAAAUAACUGUGUGUCAAUUUCCUUCUCCCUCGUCUCCAAAAUACCCAUUACUUUUCAGAGAAAGCUUACUGGAAGUCCUCCUAUCACAACUCAGCUUCUCCCAGAAUGCAUGCAAACUCACAGAACACAGAAAGUAUAGGGGAUAUUAGGGUUGGUAAACCUAGGCUCACUUCUGACUUGUGUCAUUUAUUAAUGGCAAGGCCCAGGGAUUUAGCUCAGUGGCAUAAGCACCUGCCUGGCAAGCAUGAGGUCAUGAGUUUGACCCCCAAUACCAAGCAAACAAAACAAAAAAGUAAUAUUUGUUAAUGGCGUGAGUGUGAACUACUUCCUGACAUCUCUGGCCCUCAAUAGAAACCCCCAGUUAGUCUGCUGGAAUGGAAUGAGGUCAUCAUGUCUAGCACUGUGCCAUGCACACAGUGAAUCUUAAAUAAAUGCUUCCUUUUUCACUCCUCCCCUCUUUCCUCACACCUUUUCUCCUAGUUUUAUCCUCUUAUCUCAAAAUUUAAAUUAAUUUUAUUUUUCUUUCACCCCAAAUCCUGCUUAUAUAGAUGAGAGUGUGUAUUCAAGGAAGUGGACAAGCCAGGGAGAUUAUAGGAAGCUUUCUAGGAGUUCUUUCAGCAGCCAUUUAACUUACACAUUAACCUGAGCUUGGUUUGAUAAAAGCACAAACAAUGCUUUGCAAAAAAAAAAAAAAAAAAAAUACUGCUGCCAAUUGCCCCCAAGGUUCAGAAUUUCCACAUGAAAAACAAAAUACAAAUUCUAAAUUUUCCCCCUUCAUCCUCUCAAUAAUGGCUCUGAAAGUCAAAGCAGCCAGUAUGAGAAUAUUAAGCUUUCAAAACAGUUAGACAGGGGCUGGGGAUUUAGCUCAGUGGCAUAAGCACCUGCCUUGCAAGCAGGCAGUCGUGAGUUUGAUCCCCGGUACCGAUAAAAAAGAAAAAGACCAACAAAACAAAACACAGUUAGACAAAAAACUUCUGUAACUGUAGUAUACCUAAAAGAGAGACAGUGCCAUGUCCAGAGGCUGAGCAAGAUAUAGAAGUCUCAGGAAGUAGAGCAGAACACAGCGAACAAAUGUUCUGACAUCCUAUAAAAGAAAAAAAAAAAAAAAAAAAAAACAGAAAUUUAAUGUGGUUUGAGACCUGAUUCGAACAAGUAGCUGAAGCCAAAAACCUUGAAACAGAUACAGAAAAAACAAGGAGUCUAAAGAUAAUUGAAACCUAUAAUUUUGUACCUGGUACAUUAUUUCUAGAUUACACAAGCAACUUAGGAUAUACAUUUAAAUCAUCACAUCCAGGAUAAAGGAAAAUUUCACUGUAUUUUGUGUGAUGUUUCUAGUGAGUGUAGAAUAACUAAUACUUAUUGCUAGCAAGAACCAGUGAAUUCUUCAAGCAUGUACAUACAUUAAUUUAUUUAUUCACAGCUAUAACUCUCAGAGGUUACACACCCAUGUUUAUAGAAGCACAGUUUAUGAUAGCUAAAUCUUGGAAAUGGCCCAAAGGCCCAUCAACUGACAAAUAAAUAAAGAGAUGUAGGUUUCUUAUAAAAUAGAGUACUAUCAGCCAUAAAAAGGGUACAUUUGAGACAUUUAUAGCUAAAUGGAUGGACUUUGAGACCAAACUGUUAAGUGAAAUAAAUAGAAUAUAUACUAGAUAUUAUGAAAUAAGAAAGAAAUGCUCAGUUGGGAAGGAGAACAAUGAAGAGGAAAGAAGGGAAAGGAAAAUUGAGAAUAACUCUCAGAAAUACACACUUUGAGUUUUUUCCUGUUUUAUUGGAAAAAGAGACAUAUUGUACACUUAAGUUUUCAGUGUCACUCAUUUAGUGAUUGGUAAAAUUUAAAUUAGACAUAGAUCGAAAAUAACAUAGGUGAUGAACAACUGGUUUUUAUUUUGUUCAUAUUCUGUUUGAUCAUGGGCUAAAAUCCUUUAAUAAAUCUGUCAAUAUUUUUCUUUCUUUCUCUGAGUAUAUUUUUAAACAUGGUCUCCUUUGUAAAGCUUUGCGAUUAUUUGUUUUGUAUUUCUCUCAUACACUAGAUUGAGAGCACAGUGAAUAUCUUGUAUGUAUUUUGUUCUAAAACACUAAAUGAGUGCAUAUUCAGAUGGUACUAUUUUUACAUGUCAAUUAACAGUUAAAAUAAAACUACACUAUUUAAAAUUGAUAUUGUGAUAACAGUUGUCAAUAAUCCUACCUUAUCUAGAUUCUUAGUUUCUCAAUGACAAGAUAGAUAAUCUAGCAUAUAUCUGUAUCUUUCUACCCUUCCUAGGAAUGGCCAUAUGAUUUGUCCAGUGUAGGUGACACAGUAGUACAGGCAUUCAAAAUACCCCUGACCUAUUGUCUACUGGUUGGACUUCAUCAAGAGGGUGCUGGAGAGAUAAUGCAACUUCCUGCUACCAUUUCUUUCCAAAGCAGAAUUUAGAGACCCGAGGACAGAAAUAGAGCUAUAAAAAUAACAGAAAUAUUCUUAUAAGCAGUUUCUUUCCUCCGGGGCUUAAUCUUUUACUGUGCCAAGGAAACAUUGCAAACUAAUAGUUGGAGAAAAUAUGUAGUAAACAGAGUCAUCCCCAAAUUAUCACAACUUGAAGAUCCUAACACAACACAGUAGACACUUUUGAAGAUGUACAUACCCAUGACCAGUAUUAGGUGUAUGCCCCACUCUCUUACUCGUGCAUGAACAAGAAAGCUCAUAUGGUAUUAUUUGUGCUACAAAAAAUUGUAAAUAAAUUAAAUGACCAUCAGCAGGAAAGUGGAUACACUGUCAAAUAUUUAUGCACACUGAAAAUAACAUAUAUUGACACUCAUGAAUCUCAAAAACAACUUUCAUUGACAAGCAAAUUGUAAAAGAAUGCACACAGUAUUUAUAUGAAUGUUAAAAGGUCAUUAAACUGUAUUGUGAGUACAUUCAUAUGUGAUAAAGAUAUAAAUAAUUGCAUGGAUAGAAACUUUAGAGAAAGGUUGUCUUUAGGGGGAAAAAAGGGAGUUAACUCAUAAAGUACACAUAUAUGACAUUAUUCUUUUUAUUUAAGGCAUGCAGAAGGUACAUCAAUGUCACCCUAUUAGUUUUUACAUUCUUUUCAGUAUCUUAAAUCAGUAUUUCUACAAGCAAAAGACACUGUUGCCAAAAUAGUUCCCAGUAUUAAAUUUAGCAACUAAAAUCACUGUUUUUAAAACAAACACAAUGGGCCUAGUCUACUACAGAGGGAGUGUUCAAUAAAGGAAUAUAGAACAAAUAUUGUAACAAAUAUAUUUCCCCUCACAUUCAAAUAUAUUCAAAUACAAGUUAAAUGUUGCAAGUACAUUUUGGGUCCAGAAAAUGCCCUUGGCAAUGUUGUGAGAAAACUGUAGUCAACAACAUGCAAUUAUUGAGAUAGUCGUUUCUUUAACUCUACAAUUUCUGACACAAAGGCAACUUAAAAUUUGGGAGGAGAUGACAAAAAGAAGCCUGAGACUGAAUUGUUCAGGGAAGUCUAAGUGCUCCUCCCCUGCUUGAAAUUAUGGGCAGCUAAUUUUAGUCUGCACUGGCAGUACUUAUUAUAGUAAGAAAAUGAGCUCCAUAGAUUUAUUAUGCUUUCUGCUUACUAUUUUAUUUUUAUUCUCUUUCAAAUGUAAAUCUUUGGUCCUAGGCUAACUGGAAAAGCAUUUUUUAAAACUUUGGUACAAAGAAAUGCCUAAGUACAAGCCAGCCCUGAGUAAGACAUUCUACUAGAAUCCAAGGCGUAUGAAACUUUGGCUUUCAUUUGGGUUAAACACUUGUCAACUUCCUGAUGAGAUGCAAUUAUAGAAAUUUAAGAAAGAAGGACUUGUGAGGAGCUUUCAGAUGAUUUUGCUAUCUAGUAUCUUCUUAACAGUAUCUUUUAAAACAAGAAGUCUAUGAUGAGCACCUACAUUAGAAUAAAUUCUUCCCACAUUACAUUGUCUUUAGUUCUCCAUCACCCAGACAAAAAAAGAGAGAAGACAGUCAUUGAAUAUUUUUUUCUCACAAAAGGCGUAUUUCUUCAUGAGGCUUGGUAAGUGCUUUAAUCAAAAGAGAAAUUUUCAAAAUAUUUAUAGUCCUUAGCCUUGGAAUGUUUUUAAGUACUGUGAGAAAUACUUUCUAAAUUUAAAAAUAUGUAAUUCUAAUGAAUUUAGCAACCAUAUCAAUAAAUCCUAACUUUUUUAUUGUAAUGUGAAACUCUAUUUUCGUACAACUCUACCAACUAUAUUAGCCCUUUGACAUUUGAGUUAAUCACUUAAUAAUGUCUCGUAUAUCUUUGCUAUAUGUUUAUUACAUUUCUUCUAGGUUCUUCUAUGGUUUUGAAAUCUCCUUUAGUUUCUACUGCUUAAGGAAGUACAAAUAUUGACAUAUUUGAGAUAUUAGUAGCCAACUGAAAAUUUCUACAAGAAAACUUGGUGGAGAGUUGCCAGUGGAUGCUUUAUCUUUUGAAAUACAAAAUAGCUGGAUCAAUUAAAAUAAAAUUACAAUACCCUUUGUUUAUAGUCAGAAAAUGCCUGGCAGCCUCUGACAAGAAGUAAAAGUCUUCAUAAUGUUUAUCACUUAAAAUAAGUUUAAAUUUCUUACAAUCUUAAAAUGUUGCAGGUAAAUGCACUGGAGGAUAAGUGCAUGAAGCUCAAUUGGUAGAAAUCUUUUGAAUCAAGUCUUAAAAUCUAUAAAAGGCCAUGAGAUACUUUUCAAUAUGAAAACCAGAGUUGAAUAUUUUUAUAUCUAUUUCAAAGCAUAUGAUAUUUGCCAUAAAAUAUGUAGUUAAUUGCAAAUUUUAUCAUAGAUAAAAUAGAUAAAAAUUAUAUAUACAGAAUUUCAAGAAUGUGUAAAAUAUACUAUUAUGCAUCUUCCAUCAUUAACCUAAAUAGGUAACUAUACUUGUAACAGACAUCACCAGUACCCCACACAGCUAAAAAUUCUUCCUCAAUACCAUUCUCUUUCCUCUAAAUCACAGGCAGCCACCAUCCCAUCUUUCGUUUCAAUCAUUCCCCAUUUUCAUUCAUAAUUCUACUAUUUAUACAUGUAACCCCAAGCAGUAUGCAGCUUAGCUUUAAAAUAGAGAAGGAAGUUCAAAUAUAACUGUGUGAGGCAAAGGUAGCAUUAACUCAAACAGAUGGAGGAUUUCAGAAAAAGAGAAACUAUUUUGAGACUGAAAAUAGAGUUUUAAGACAAUUUAUAAGAACUCUUUGGAGGAAAUCAGUGAGCAAGUUCACAGGUGAGUCCUAGGCCACACAGGGGUCACAGCUGUGGUGAUCUGGCAGGGCUGAAGUGUAUGGUGGGUUUUAGGUGUCAAUCAGGAACAUAAGCUGUUCUGGAUUUUCCAUUUAUAAGCUUGCUAGGGUCCAUCUCUUAGGAGAAAUCUAACUCAAAUUACUUUGAUACGAAGAUCCAGCAAACAAAUAGGGAAGAACCAAAACUUCACGGAGAGCUUCAACAAAAGCCUGAUGUGAAUAGGGAUCUUGGCCCAGCUUGCUGGAUAUUCUGUCUGCAGGAUGUGAAGUGAGUACAGCGAUGUCUCAUAACGGGAGGUUCAGCCUCACCUCAGGCCCUCUGUAUUGUGUAUUCCUGAGAUCUUGGGGUCCCUCUUCCAUUCUCCUGGAUUUCCACUAAAUCCUCUUUUGGAUAUCCUCUUUCUUGUGUCCCUUGAACUCCUCUUGUUUGCCUUUUCUCAUACUUAGAGUUAUAUAUCUUACGCUUGUUUCUUGCCACACUAAUGAUGAGAGCUUUUAAUCAGAUCCCACAUUUUGAAACUGUCUUCACUUUCAUGCUGCCAUUGGAAUAAUUUUAAAAUGUAAGUCGGAAGUAAGAUUUCCAUGAAAUUUUGAAGGUAUUGUUCCAUUGUUUCUGUGCUUCAUGUGUUGCUGAGUAACCCAAAAUUAUUUUUAUUUUCUGUGUUGACUUUUUCUUUCUAGAAACUUGUAGAACCUUCUUUCUUUCUUCUUACUAUUGUAAAAUUUUCAACAAUGAUCUUUGAUGUGUAUCAAGUUUACUCAGAUUUUUUAAAUUGUAGUAUUUUGGGUACUUGGUAGACCUUUCAAAACUGUUCAUUCGUCUCUCUGGUCUAGGAUAUUUCAUAUAUUUUCUAUAUUCUUUUUCUUCUGUAUUUGUUAAAUUUUGAUAUUAAAAAGUUAUUUAACUAUUUUUUGUCUCCUAUCAUCAUUUAAUUAUUUAUUGCUCUACCUUCAGGAAGAUUAAAUCAGCAUAGUGUUUUUCAUUUUGAUUUUUUUCAUUUCAAAGCAUUCUUUUAUUUCUGAAUAGUUCCACUUUUGUAAGGCUUCUUACUUUUGUUUAAUGCAUGCAAUAAUUUCCAUCUUUCUGAUAUGUUAGAUAUUACUAAAAGGUAUUUAAAUCAAUUUAAUUAAAGUAUAGAUUACAUACACUAUUGAGUUUUCACAAAGAUAUAAUUUUGUGUAAUUACCAUAAUCAAAAUAUAAAUAAUGUGUCUCCCAAAAGUUCUCCUGUGUUUGUUCCACUCAUUUUCCCCCCACACUCUUGAUCUCAGGAAAAUUUAUGUCUGUUUUAUGGCACUAUGGAUUGUGUUCAUAUUUCUAUAAUUAAUAAUAGAGUAUUAGUUUUCCCCCAAAUAAUUUGUUUCUUUCAAAUUGUUAUUUUUCUUUGGUGCAUAUGUUUCAUUCUGUCUUUCAUAUAGAGGCUUUUCAGAAAUGCUGGUCACUCAAUCUAUUCCAAACAAAAGAGAGAAAUUAAAAGAAGACUAGAUCUGAACACAUGAGCUUUUUGCAAUAUUGACUCCCGUGUGGUCAAAAUUGGAAUUCAGAUAUCUGAAGGUAGAAUGAUGGAUAUUCCAGUUCUGAAAGAAGGACUGAUUUUAUAUUUCCUGCAUUUAUUCAUCCUAUCUUAAUCCUCAGUGCAUUGAAUGAUGCCAACUCACACUGGAAAAGUAAAUCUGCUUUAUUCAGUAUGCUAAAUCUAAUGCUACUACUCUCUUUCAAACACACCAGGAAUAAUUGACAUAAUGUUUUCCAUUACAGACUUUUGAGAAUCCUCGUAUAAAUUAGGCUAGUCCCAAUUCUCUCUCUUGUCAGCUUUCUGAGUGCUGCUGACUCAAAUUUAUCUUUCAAAUUUCUAAAACUUUAUUGCAAUUGAUCUCUUUAUUUUUCUUCAUUUCAAGGACUUAUGUCUGUCUUUUUUUAAUCCUUUAAUUUUAUUGCUACAUAUGCUUAGAGAGGAUAGAAUUAGAUUUAACUGCCAAUCUAUUAUCUUAACCCAAAUUUCGCAUUGUUAGACAUUUUAUACUUUAUCACAUGUAACAAAAGAAUCAGUGCAAAUUAAUGAAAUACAUAAAUUCUGAUUGAGUAAAGCGUGUCCCUUUCGAUUUCUAAUUUGGCCAAUAGAUAAUUUUCAUAAAAUUUUAUAUUGUUGAUAUGUCAUUUUCCUAAUAUAGAUUCAUUGGCUUGGCAUAAAUUUUGGAGUUUUAUAUUCAGUAUGGUUUUAAACACCUUAAAAUUUUAAAAUACAAAUUAGAUAAGAAUUUCUAAUUAGGAUUUUGAGACAGUGAAUUCAAGUGCUCGGAUAUAUUACUUUUAGAUAAAAUAUCACUAUGUUUAGAUUUUGUAUUUGUUUAUGAAGCAGUAAGUUUUUGUUCAGCUGUGAAUACCUGAAAAGAUAGCAGGAAGUGGCUAGUUGGGAUUUUACUUCUAUGCAUGAUGCCUGUUGUACACAGGUUAAACACAGCUUAUCAAGGAGAAAGACCCUGUGAGCAUUCUGAGAGUAAAUGCCAGUCUUUAACUAUGAACCUUCUGAGGGCAUACACUCUGCAGAGCAAGGCAAAUUGCUGCCAACAUAGGUUGAAAACAUUCACUGGGGACAAAAGCAAAGGCCACGUGUAGUGUUACUAAAGUGUUUAGUCUAAGGUUACAGAUAAAAUAGAGACUAUCAAAGUUAAAUUUGAAUUGUAUAUGAACAAGAAGUAUUUCAUUUUUUUAAAUUUUAUUUAAGGAGGAAAAAAAAGCAGAGAAAGGGUACAAGUUAUACAGAUUUAUAGAAAAAAUAAACAGUAGGAAAUCACUAGUUAAUGGAUUACAUAUUGUCAUCUUAGAAAUAAUUGUUCAAGUCACAAAGUUAAAGCUUGUAAAGUGGACAUUCCAACAGUGAGACUGCAAACAGUUCUGUUCAAUGAUCCAAUAAAACUCAGUGAUAUCAUUUUCUAUCUUAUACACUUAAAUAUACAUGCAGUUAUAUCGUUUAGAGCACUUUCUUUUCCUCUCUUUUGUACAAUGACAAUUACACAUUUUGGGUUUUGUUGCUCCCACAGUUCUUACUACUUUUUUGGAAGGGAGUAGAACCAAAUGUGACCUAACAGAACAGAGUCAAUCAAAUCAAAAGGGUGGACAUAAUAGAUAAUGUAAAAGCAUAAUACAAGGUGAUCAAUAAUGGUUACCAUAAUGCCUCCUGCCAUCUCUAAUAGAAUUGCCUAUAUCAUCAGUUAUAAUAAAAUUGAACAAAACAGUAAAGAACAAAACUGACAAAACCAAAACAUUGGAGACAUUAUAGGUCUUCAAAAGUAGAUAAAAGUCAAUGAGAAUGGGUGUCAUAAUGAAUCUCACUAUCUUCACAGCUGUUGCUUAAACUUUCGAACCUGGUACUAUCAAGCAAAACAGAAUAGGGGGACAUCAGUCAAAAACAAGAUGGUGAGAGUAAUACAGGACUUUAAAUCAAGAUAAUGGAAAGUCAAAGUGGGUUACUAUAAUAUAUCCUGCUAUUUUUUAUUUAUUUUUCCCUUAAUUAAAAGGAUAAAAAUAAAAAAGUAAAUAAUGAAGUGGAGAUUGAGAUAAAAGAGUACAUAACAGCGAAACAGUGCAGAUCAAAACAUAACCAUUUAAGCAGAAUAGUGUUUCACCAUAAGAUAAUCCUGACAUAAAAGUAGUUACCAUAUUGUCUCUUUCCUUGAAAUUUUUGAGUAUAACUUUGUAUACUGUAGCAUCAAAUAUAUCAAAACAAUGUAAAACUAUUUAAGAGAAUGACAGCAUUACAGGAUAUUUAGAAUCAACUAACAGAAAAUGAACAAUGGUUUCUGUAUAAUCUCCUUGUCUUUAAAAGUUUUUGCUUAUACUAUCGUACAUAAUAAAAUCCAAUAAGAUACAACCUGUUUAGACCAAUGGAGACAGAAGGACAAAAGCUUGAUGAGACUUCAAAACAAGAUGAUACUAAAUCAGUAUUACCUAUUAAGAUGUCAUUUUCUCCAAAAUAGCUGUUCCUAUCAUCCAAUCUUCUCUACCUCUUUUCUGUUGAGCUCUUUUUCUGUCAUUAGUUGUCAGUUUGUCUUCUUCAUUUUGUUUUCUGUUCCAUUCAUUGUGGCCUCUAUGCCACUGUUUCUGGAUUCUUUGUAUUUUUCUUUUUUAGAAUAUCCUGCAGUAUUCUCUGUAUAGUUGAAUUGGUGGCUGCAAAUUCCCCUAGUUCCUCUUUAUCCUGGAAGCACCUUGUUUUUCCAUCAAUUUCCAGGGAUAGUUGUGCAGGAUAUAUCAAUCUUGGCUGGAGAUUAUUAUCUUUCAAAGCUUGAAUUAUUUCCCCCCACACUCUUUGUGAUUUGAUGGUUUGUGCAGAGAAAUCUGCUGUAAUUCUGAUGGGUGUUCCCUUGUAAGUGGUGUGUUUCUUGUCUCUGACAGCUUUUAAUAUUCUGUUCUUGUAUUGAAUUUCUGGAAUUUUUAUUAUUAUAUGCCUGGGUGCUGCUCUGUUUGGGUUGUAGGUGGCUGGGGUCCUGUAUGCCUCAUACUUCUGAGCAUCUUUAUCUUUUGCUAAAUUAGGAAAAUUCUCCUGGAUUAUUUCUGUGAGUAGCUUUUGUAGCUCAUUUGUUUGUGUCCCUACUUCUUCUUUUAUGUUCUUAAUUCUUAAGUUAUGGAUCCUCUUAUCAUCUUCUAGUCUUUGUAUUAUUGCUGUUUGUUUCUUUGUUACUUUUAAGAAGUUUUUUAUUUCAUUCUCCCAUAUUACAAAUCUGCCCUCCAGUUCAGAUAGUCUGUCCUUAGUUUCUUUCAAGCUGUUAUGCCAGUUUUCUAUAGAGUUUUUUAGUUUCCUGGUAGUCUCUUUGAACCUGCUUCAUGUAUUCUAUGCUUUCUCUAUUUUCUCCAUCAAACAAUUCUCCCCUCUUUUUCUGUUCUUCCAUUCCACCAUCUGUUUUUUCUUGGGUGGUGCUUAGCAUUUCUCUAACUAUUCUGCUUAUUUCUAGCUUCAGGUCAUUAAUAACUUCAUUCCUGAACUGAUCUAUGAGGCUCUCUAGAUGGCGCUUUAUGUCUAUUGGUGCAGUGUCCGCUAUUGCCUGUUUCUUAGGAUUGGGGGCCGAGGAGCCUUUCUUGUUGCUGCCUCUUCCCAUAUUCUUUGUUCCUUAUAUAUGCAAGCUUAUAUAGGAGGCCCAGCUUCCCUCCCUGUCAGCCACAGCCUGAUUGAAUUGCCCCGGCUAGGUUUUCCCGCCCACCGCAGCACACCAGGAAAUUGUAGACCAGGCAGCCUACUCGAGGCCCACCCCUCCAGGCCACCCUCAGGCUCUGGGAUCUGGGUUGUGCUAGCCUAUUGGGUCUCCACCAGCAGCGUCAUGUAGGCUAGGCACUUCUCACCAAUCCCGCUUGAGAGGGGGGAUAUGUGGCUGAAGUCGCUGCAGCGCCCCACUCCCGCAAGUCUGCCCAGUCCCAGAAUGUCUUCCGCUGGGGUCUCAUUAAACUGUGGAAGAGUGUCAGUUUCUCUCACUCACCUCACCGCAAGUUAAUGCACAGCUCCCCGCCCAUCCUGUUUUCAACUCUGUUCACCGAUUCCCGUUCUCAGGUCUCUCUCCCUGCAGAGCCGAUGUAGAUGCAGCUGCCGCGUGGCGAGAAACCCAAAUCGUGGCUUCCAAUGGUGCGGGCUCCAGCCUCCACACUGAGGCCCCUCUGUUCCUGUUCUAGCACCAGGACUGCAUUCCAAGUUGGUUUCUCUCAGCCCAGUUCGUUCCUGGGUCAACAGAGCAUAUCUCCACCUGCUUAUGACUCCUUAUUCCGCACCAUUCCUGAAUUCUAAGCCGAGUCUUUCAGAGAUCCUCCGUAGCUGCUGCUAUCUGUCCGCCGUGCUCUCCCAGAAGUCACAAGAAAUAUUUUAGUGAAGCAUGCCCCAUACAAUAAUUACAACAUUCUCAUACUGAAAAUAUUAUUUACCAUCUAUCCAGAAUUAAAAUUUAACUGAUGAGGUGGGCUUCCAAAAAUCUGGUUAUAAAGGUGAUGACCUUCAAUUUAAAAUCAGAACAUCUAAUGAAAGUUUGGACCAGAGAAAUAAAAAUUAUAAAACCUGUAGGAAAGGUAAUUUAGAGCUCAAGGUGACCAGCUGAGUAUUCAAGGAUCGAUAAAAUAAACAUGAAGAAGAGAAUAAUAUGUUCCAUAGGGCACAUACAGAAAACAUCAUGGCUACUCAGUAGGGCAUAGGAGAAAUCCCAGUGUCUCCUUAGUCAUAGAUAAGAACUUCAAAAAGAAUAAGCUCCUUCAAAAGAAAGCUUUGAGGAUGAAAAACACAAGACAUGCCUGACUCUUCCUUUUUAUAUUAUGACUAUAUGACACAGGCAUGGUUAAGCUUGGUCCUGUCACUUGCCAUAGACUUCCUGUUAUGGUUUGUGUUUUAAUAUCCUCACAAAGCCUCAUACAAUCAUGAAGGAGCAAGCAUUUUCAAGGUGGCUGAGUCUAGCAUUUCUGAUUGAUUAAUUGUCUAGUGCUGCAAUCCACAGUGUGAGUGCCACACUCACUGAGGAGCUGGUAGCUGGCAUACAAGAGAGUUGUUGCUUGCAGCCACCAUGAAUGAUUGUCCCUUAGCCAUACCACCUUGCCUUGGAUCUAACUGAUUAUAGACUAAAGCCUUCCAUGAAUUGUGAACUAAAUAAACCUUUCCUUCCUUAAUUUUUGAUGUAAGGUAUUUUAUCUCAGCAAGGAGAGAAAAGUAAACAAGACAGAACUUGAUACCAGUGGAAUGGGGUCAUUGCUGACUGCACCUGACCAUAUGGUUUAAGAGCCUUUAGGAAUGUCUUGUGGGAAGAGUUUGGAAAGGUUCUGAGAUGUCACUUGAAAAGAGUUCUACUGGAAUGCCUUAGGCUGCUCUGUAUGGGACAUUCUAGUCAGAACUCAGAAGAUCAGAAGGCUAGCAAAAAUCCUGCUGGUAAAGACCAGGCUUUGAAGGUUUCUUCUGGAAAAAGGACUACAUUGCUAUUGGACUCCAGGCAAUAUGUGUUAUGGCUUGACAGAUAGUGUAUCUGAAUUUUGCUCCUGUCAAGUGACUUUGCCUGAGACUGAGAUUAAAGGAAGUGUGCUAAUUAAUCUAGCAAAGGGAUUUCAAGGCAGUCAAGUGUUAAAGCCAUGGAAUGGCUAUUGUUGGAAACUUUUCAUCAGGUUUAUGUAAUGAAUUAAGAGCAAAGAUCCCAGCAGGAUUAUUUAAAACAUUGUGAAUUUGGCCAGAAAGGAAAGUCCAGUAAAACUGUGAACUGUAAUGAUAGAACUGUGAUCUUGUUAGCUGAGAAAUAAUAGAAAAUCUGGCCUAUAGGGAUCACAGGAAGUGAUGACUUUCCACCCUUGCCACUCAAAACAGAAGGGAAAGACUUUGCUUUGAGGAGAAAGUCGCAAAAUGUCAUGUUCUAGAAUGGUGAUGGAGUCUACACAAGUUUCCAAAAUGAUGGCAGCCAAACUAGGUCCCAGAAUGGCAGCAGUUUAGAGAAUUUGUUCCUCAUAAUUGGAUUCAGAGUGUGCAGUUAUUCAGGCACUCAACCCCUAAAGCCAAGAGAGAAGAAAACCUGGCUGCCACUACAGCUGGCAUCAGACCUUGGCAUCAUCCAUGUGGCACUGGUCUUAGAUGCGUACAACAUACAAGUGUUCUGAAUUUGAAAAGGCUUUCACUCUGAUUUCAGAAGGCCUAGGAGGUCAGGCUGUGUGCCCCUGUGAAGGCAUUGUGUGAAACUGUGUGAAGCCGAAGGUGCAAUGGAGAACCUGGAAGCUUAGAAAAGUCAGGAAUGCAGAUCAUCUGGGAAAUCUGUAAGGAGGGAGCAAAGUCAGUCCAAGAGAAGUUUUUAACUUUGUUUUAAUUUGUAUGGGGUUUUCAGAUAAGAGUUUGUCUUACAUCUCUCUUGGGACUUGGUAUUUUCAGCAAGGAAGUGUGUUGGUUACUUUUUUGUCAUUGCUGAGACAAAAUGCUUGACUCCCAAAAUGAAGUAAGGAAGAUAGAGUCCAUCACCAUUCUGGAACAGUUUCAGCUAAAGCUGUUAGGACUUUGGCAACUCUUGGAGAUGGACUAAAUGUCUUUCAUAUAAAGGAUAUGCAUGAGUCUUUGGGGGGCCAGGAGUGGAUAGUUAUGGUUUGUGUUUAGAUGUCCCCCCAAAGCCUCAAGCAGUCUUGGGGGAUAAGAUUUCCAAAAGCAGCUGAGUAGCAUUUGUGAUUGGUUCACUGACUAGCUCAGGGAUUGUUAAUGUGAGUACUGUACCCACUCAGGGGCAGGUAGCUGAUAUAAAACAUAAGGAAGGGGAAAAUCGUGCUCUUGCUUUCUGCUCUUUUCACUCUUGUUGCUUGUAGUCAGCCACCAUGAAUGCUUGCCCCUUAGCCACAUCACCCUGCUUUGGAGCCAGCUGAGUAGGAACUGGAAUCUCCAAAACCUGUAAGCUGAAGAAACCUCUCCUUACUUCAUUUUGGGAGUCAAGUAUUUUGUCUCAACAAUGAGAGAAGUAACCAACAUGCUUCCUUUCACUUCCGCUCAGUCUUCUCAGUACCCACCCAUUCAAGGAUGCACUAAGAUAACUUAUCUAAGUGUCUUCAGUUGGUUACUUAGUGGCCAUUCUUUGACCUACAGAAGGUUCAACUUAGCCAUCAGCUAUGUUGCCCUCCCUGCUCCAUCCAACUGCUCCAGACAUUGGUGCCUCUUUGAAGAAGUGUCAAGAAAACCACCCGUAAUGUGACAGAGAUCAAACAGGGAUCUAGAACCUUUAUUCCCAGCCUCCUCAUUGUGAAUAAAGUUAGCCUUUCUGAAGAUUUCCUAGUUUGAGCCCUGCUAUUUUUUAGAGAUGAAACAGCUGUUAGUAAAGCAGUUCACAUUUCUGAUGUUCCCAUGAACUACUAUUAUUACGGUACUAAACACAGGCCUACAUUUGGGCCAAUCACAAGCCUUCAUCUAUUGUAUAAGUAGCAUUUCCCUCACACUUCUUGGAUUAAUAUGGGGGUACUCCCUCUCCUACACUGAUCCACCUGUGCCACCUCACAGGUCUCGUUCCAAUAAAGUCUCAUUCUGGUAGGACUAUAAAUCAGGUUGUGAUCUAUUUCUCCUAUAAUCUGGACUCAAAAAGUUUUGUAAAUAUACUUCUCAGGAUUGUUAUCUUGAGUAGCGAGGACUGAGAAACUGAUUUAGAAGAAAGAGCAAUAAAAGGUUUCUGUUAAAACACUGCUACUCCGGAGCACUCCAGAGACUAGCAGCCAACAAAGAUCUGUGACAGAAAAUGACAUCCAAGUGAAUUGAUUGAUGGCAUCCAGCAUUAACUGUUGAAGACUAGUGAUAUUAUCACCCUUAGCAAAACUACAGUUUGAAAACUCAUGAUUUUUAUCUGAAUCAAGCAAAAGAACCCUCAAUUGAUUGGCUACUAUAUCUUUGCUUUUAGCAAUAACAAGUACAGAAAAAAUGUUUGUAUUGGGGUUAUCCAAGUUUAAAGGAGAAGACUUGCAAAGGGAUAUUAAAGUUAAAUUAUUAUAUUUGAAAUAAAACUUUUUUAUAAAACCA